CCNACGGGAGGNAGCAGUNAGGAAUAUUGCACAACUGGGCGCAAGCCCUGAUGCAGCGACGCCGCGUGAGGGAUGACNGCCUUNNGGUUGUAAACCUNUUUCACCCAUGAAGAAGCGCAAGUGACGGUAGUGGGAGAAGAAGCACCGGCCAACUACGUGNCAGCAGCCGCGGUAAUA
rnacentral:rRNA from 1 species